rnacentral:sRNA from 1 species
UGAGACUAACCAAGUCAAAGGAUAGUGAUUCUUUUGUAGUAACAUCUAUCGAAGCCUUUGCGGGCCCUAAAAGGUCAUUGCCGCGACUCUAAAAAAAUGACAAUUUUACGCAAGUCAGCCUGGCUGGCAACAUGAUCGAAGUGCGGGAAACCCUAAAGCCUAUAGUACCAACCUUGUGCGGAAACGCCCUAGGGGCCCGUGUUAACGUCACGGGGCGGUCAGAAUCUAUUUGGAUAUAUAAUGGGUAAUCCGCAGCGAAGCUCCUACCGCGUACAGCUAUGGAGAACGUUCACAGACUAAGUGGUUAUGGGCACAUAUUUUUGUUGUGCUUAAGAUAUAGUCGGGCCCCUAGAGAAAUCUAGGGCGUUAGGGGUUAAAAAAGAUGAUUUGACCCCCCUUUCUAAGCUGUUCCGUAGGUGAACCUGCGGAAGGAUCAUUACAGAGCUCGUGCCCUUCGGGGUAGAUCUCCCACCCUUGUGUAUCAUUAUCAAAUGUUGCUUUGGCGCGCCGUACGCGCAGCUUACCCGGGGAUUCCCCGGUGUGCGCGCCAGAGGACCCCUAAACUCUGAAUGUUAGUGUCGUCUGAGUACCAUAUAAUAGUUAAAACUUUCAACAACGGAUCUCUUGGUUCUGGCAUCGAUGAAGAACGCAGCGAAAUGCGAUAAGUAAUGUGAAUUGCAGAAUUCAGUGAAUCAUCGAAUCUUUGAACGCACAUUGCACCCCCUGGUAUUCCGGGGGGUAUGCCUGUUCGAGCGUCAUUAUAACCCCUCCAGCCUCGCUGGGUGUUGGGCCUUGCUGUACGGCAGGCCUUAAAACUAGUGGCAGUGCUCUUAAGCUCUACGCGUAGUAAUUCUUCUCGCUAUAGGGUUCUAGGGGAUGCUGGCCAUCAACCUCAAUUUCUCAUGGUGACCUCGGAUCAGG